AUUGAACGCUGGCGGCAGGCCUAACACAUGCAAGUCGAACGGUAACAGGAAGAAGCUUGCUUCUUUGCUGACGAGUGGCGGACGGGUGAGUAAUGUCUGGGAAACUGCCUGAUGGAGGGGGAUAACUACUGGAAACGGUAGCUAAUACCGCAUAAUGUCGCAAGACCAAAGAGGGGGACCUUCGGGCCUCUUGCCAUCGGAUGUGCCCAGAUGGGAUUAGCUAGUAGGUGGGGUAACGGCUCACCUAGGCGACGAUCCCUAGCUGGUCUGAGAGGAUGACCAGCCAGCUUGGAAGUGAGACUGAGUCCAGACUCCUGGGGGAGGCAGCAGUGGGGAAUAUUGCGCAAUGGGGGCGAGCCUGAUGCAGCAAUGCCGGGUGUAGGAAGAAGGCCUUCGGGUUGUAAAGUACUUUCAGCGGGGGGGAAGGGAGUAAAGUUAAUACCUUAGCUCAUUGACGGUACCCGCAGAAGAAGCACCGGCUAACUCCGUG
rnacentral:rRNA from 1 species